AUUGAACGCUGGCGGCAGGCCUAACACAUGCAAGUCGAACGAGUGGCGGACGGGUGAGUAAUGUCUGGGAAACUGCCCGAUGGAGGGGGAUAACUACUGGAAACGGUAGCUAAUACCGCAUACCAUCUGAUGUGCCCAGCUGGGAUUAGCUAGUAGGUGGGGUAACGGCUCACCUAGGCGACGAUCCCUAGCUGGUCUGAGAGGAUGACCAGCCACACUGACACUGGGACACGGUCCAGGUGCCUACGUGAGGCAGCAGUGGGGAAUAUUGCACAAUGGGCGCAAGCCUGAUGCAGCCGUGCCGCGUGUAUGAUGAAGGCCGGCGGGUUGUAAAGUACGUUCAGCGAGGAGGCGUUACUCGCAGAAGAAGCACCGGCUAACUCCGUGCCAGCAGCCGCGGUAAUUC
rnacentral:rRNA from 1 species